rnacentral:miRNA from 1 species
CGAGUUUCGUGAUGUCGAAUA